rnacentral:rRNA from 1 species
GACUACAUGAAGCUGGAAUCGCUAGUAAUCGCGGAUCAGAAUGCCGCGGUGAAUACGUUCCCGGGUCUUGUACACACCGCCCGUCACACCAUGGGAGUCGGAAAUGCCCGAAGCCAGUGACCUAACCGAAAGGAAGGAGCUGCCGAAGGUGGAGCCGGUAACUGGGGUGAAGUCGUAACAAGGUAUC